CAGUCGAGCGGUAGAGAGAAGCUUGCUUCUCUUGAGAGCGGCGGACGGGUGAGUAAUGCCUAGGAAUCUGCCUGGUAGUGGGGGAUAACGUUCGGAAACGGACGCUAAUACCGCAUACGUCCUACGGGAGAAAGCAGGGGACCUUCGGGCCUUGCGCUAUCAGAUGAGCCUAGGUCGGAUUAGCUAGUUGGUGGGGUAAUGGCUCACCAAGGCGACGAUCCGUAACUGGUCUGAGAGGAUGAUCAGUCACACUGGAACUGAGACACGGUCCAGACUCCUACGGGAGGCAGCAGUGGGGAAUAUUGGACAAUGGGCGAAAGCCUGAUCCAGCCAUGCCGCGUGUGUGAAGAAGGUCUUCGGAUUGUAAAGCACUUUAAGUUGGGAGGAAGGGUUGUAGAUUAAUACUCUGCAAUUUUGACGUUACCGACAGAAUAAGCACCGGCUAACUCUGUGCCAGCAGCCGCCGGUAAUACAGUAGGGUGCAAGCGGUUAAUCGAGAAUUACUGGAGCGUAAAGCGCGCGUAGGUGGGUUUGUUAAGUUGGGAUGUGAAAUCCCCGGUGCUCAACCUGGCGAACUGCAUUCAAAACUGACUGACUAGAGUAUGGUAGAGGGUGGUGGAAUUUCCUGUGUAGCGGUGAAAUGCGUAGAUAUAGGAAGGAACACCAGUGGCGAAGGCGACCACCUGGACUAAUACUGACACUG
rnacentral:rRNA from 1 species